rnacentral:rRNA from 1 species
UACGAAGGGGGCAAGCGUUGUUCGGAAUUACUGGGCGUAAAGGGCGCGCAGGCGGCCAAUCAAGUCAGAUGUGAAAGCCCCGGGCUCAACCUGGGAAUUGCAUUUGGGACUGUUUGGCUAGAGAUCGGGAGAGGAGAGUGGAAUUCCCAGUGUAGAGGUGAAAUUCGUAGAUAUCAGGAGGAACACCAGUGGCGAAGGCGGCUUCCUGGACACUAACUGACGCUGAGACGCGAAAGCGUGGGGAGCAAACAGG